CUCAUUGAUCAAUGAAUGCAAA
rnacentral:miRNA from 14 species